rnacentral:rRNA from 1 species
UUGUAAGUGUGUAAGGGCGUUCGGUGGAUGCCUUGGUACCAGGAGCCGAUGAAGGACGUGGUAGGCCGCGAUAGUCCUCGGGGAGUUGUCAAACGAGCUGUGAUCCGAGGGUGUCCGAAUGGGGAAACCCAGCACGAGUGAUGUCGUGUUACCACCAGCUGAAUGUAUAGGCUGUGUGGGGGGAACGUGGGGAAGUGAAACAUCUCAGUACCCAUAGGAAGAGAAAACAAUUGUGAUUCCGUGAGUAGUGGCGAGCGAAAGCGGAGGAGGCUAAACCAUGCGCAUGUGAUACCGGGUAGGGGUUGUGUGUGUGGGGUUGUGGGGUUCGUCUUCUUCCAUCUGCCUGUGGAAGCGUGAGUCAGAAAACUGUGUGUUAGGUGAAGUGGCCUGGAAUGGUCUGCCGUAGUCGGUGAGAGUCCGGUAGCUGAAAACACAUGGUCUUGCGUGACGGUGUCCCCAAGUAGCAGCGGGCUCGUGGAAUCUGCUGUGAAUCUGCCGGGACCACCCGGUAAGCCUGAAUACUUCCUGGUGACCGAUAGCGGACUAGUACCGUGAGGGAAAGGUGAAAAGUACCCCGGGAGGGGAGUGAAAUAGUACCUGAAACCGGACGCUUACAAUCCGUCAAAGCCUGUGCCUUCGGGGCGGGUGAUGGCGUGCCUUUUGAAGAAUGAGCCUGCGAGUUAGUGCUCGGUGGCGAGGUUAACCCGUGUGGGGUAGCCGUAGCGAAAGCGAGUCUGAAUAGGGCGAGAGAGUCGCCGGGUCUAGACCCGAAGCGGAGUGAUCUACCCAUGGCCAGGGUGAAGCGUCGGUAAGACGUCGUGGAGGCCCGAACCCACUUCAGUUGAAAAUGGAGGGGAUGAGUUGUGGGUAGGGGUGAAAGGCCAAUCAAACUCCGUGAUAGCUGGUUCUCCCCGAAAUGCAUUUAGGUGCAGCGUCACAUGUUUCUUACUGGAGGUAGAGCUACUGGAUGGCCGAUGGGCCCCACAGGGUUACUGACGUCAGCCAAACUCCGAAUGCCGGUAAGUGAGAGUGUGGCAGUGAGACUGCGGGCGAUAAGGUUCGUAGUCGAGAGGGAAACAGCCCAGAUCGCCGGCUAAGGCCCCUAAGCGUGUACUAAGUGGAAAAGGAUGUGGGGUCGCGAAGACAACCAGGAGGUUGGCUUAGAAGCAGCCACCCUUGAAAGAGUGCGUAAUAGCUCACUGGUCAAGUGAUCCUGCGCCGACAAUGUAGCGGGGCUCAAGUACACCGCCGAAGCCGCGGCACUCACACGUUAGCCCGUCGAUCUUUUACGGAGGGUCGACCAGGUGUGUGGGUGGGUAGGGGAGCGUCCUGCAUCCGUGGAAGCGCCGGAGUGAUCCAGGUGUGGAGGGUGUGGGAGUGAGAAUGCAGGCAUGAGUAGCGAAAGCAGAGUGAGAAACUCUGCCGCCGAAUGACCAAGGGUUCCUGGGCCAGGCUAAUCCGCCCAGGGUGAGUCGGGACCUAAGGCGAGGCCGACAGGCGUAGUCGAUGGACAACGGGUUGAUAUUCCCGUACCCGUGUAUCCGCGCCCAUGCUGAAUCAGUUGUACUAACCAUCCUGAUCCCCCGGGAGCACCUUCGGGUGCCGAGUUGGGGUGAUGCAUGGGACCUUGGCUGGUAGUAGGCAAGCGAUGGGGUGACGCAGGAAGGUAGUGGGGCCAGUCAGUGGUUGUACUGGUGUAAGCCUGUAGGGCGAGUGAUAGGCAAAUCCGUCACUCACAUAGCCUGAGAGGUGAUGCGUAGCCGUUGUGGCGAAUUCCAUGAUCCUAUGCUGCCGAGAAAAGCCUCUAGUGAGUUGGUACACGGCCCGUACCCCAAACCAACACAGGUGGUCAGGUAGAGAAUACUAAGGCGAUCGAGAGAACUGUGGUUAAGGAACUCGGCAAAAUGCCCCCGUAACUUCGGGAGAAGGGGGACCCAUCCUGGUGACGAUCUUUUCGGUCUGAGCUGGUGUGGGUCGCAGAGACCAGAGAGAAGCGACUGUUUACUAAAAACACAGGUCCGUGCGAAGUCGUAAGACGAUGUAUACGGACUGACGCCUGCCCGGUGCUGGAAGGUUAAGAGGACCGGUUAAUCACCUUCGGGUGGUGAAGCUGAGAAUUUAAGCCCCAGUAAACGGCGGUGGUAACUAUAACCAUCCUAAGGUAGCGAAAUUCCUUGUCGGGUAAGUUCCGACCUGCACGAAUGGCGUAAC